UGUAUCGGUACAGUAAGCAGAGAAUGCUGCUGUUUUGCAGAAUUCUUCGCGAUAAGCUGCCCUCGCGUCGCACGGAGUCCGUUUUACGUCUAUUUGACGCCAACGCGACUCGGACUUGUUCCGACACUCUCCAGAGCUAUCGACAAGCCUCCACAGUCAAACACCAGGGAUCUCACAGGCAAUUUCUUAUAUACCCUUGAAAAGUUUCCGACUUUUCGAUUUAUCCCUCUUAGAAGGCUAAUAUUGAAAAUACCCCUCCUACGUUCCAACCUAUUUCUAAUAUACCCUUAGAGUUAAAAUCUGUUAAGUAACACUGUUAUCUCUGUAAAAUUACUAUUUUGCCCUUUUCAAAUAUACCAUUCUACCAUCAUUGUCUUUCUUAUUUGCCCUUAAAGUCAGGGGCACAAAAAGUAUUUCAACUUUUUUUCUUUUCCAAUAUACUCCUCUACCGUAACCAACCUUUCUUAUUUGCCCUUAAGUUAAGGGCAAAAUUGGCAUUUUAAUUUUUUUUAACUGUGAUAGAUAUUUAACUCACGUUUAACUAAGGUUAACUUAACAUGAGAUAACUACAGGGGUAUUUUGCAAUAACCGUAGAACAGGGCAUUUUAGAAAGUAAAAAAAAGUAGGGUUAUAUCGGAUAUUUUCAGACACAUGAGGAGUAUAUAGGCAAUUAUCCCUAUUUGAAAAUAUUAGAAAUUUUACAGAGACAAGAUAUAAAAGUUAAGCUUUAUAAAAAUACACCUAUAAUUUUCUAUAUUUAUAGAGAGGUGUAAGAAAUUAACCCAAAUGAAAAUUGCACUGCUCUAA
rnacentral:lncRNA from 1 species